AUCGAACGCUGGCGGCAGGCCUAACACAUGCAAGUCGAGCGUGCGGCGGACGGGUGCGUACUGUCUGGGAAAAUGCCUGAUGGCGGGGGAUAACUACUGGAAACGGUAUCUAAUACCGCAUACCAUCAGAUGUGCCCAGAUGGGAUUGGCUAGUCGGUGGGGUAACGGCUCACCUAGGCGACGAUCCCUAGCUGGUCUGAGAGGAUGACCAGCCACACUGGGACUGAGACAAGGUCCAGACUCCUACGGGAGGCAGGAGUGGGGAAUAUUGGACAAUGGGCGAAAGUCUGACGGAGCCAUGCCGCGUGUGUGAAGAAGGGCUUCGGGUUGUAAAACACUGUUGGCCGGGAAGCGUUAUCCGCAGAAGAAGCACCGGCUAACUCCGUGCCAGCAGCCGCGGUAAUAC
rnacentral:rRNA from 1 species